AAAUUAUCACCCUGAUGCAGCACUAAAAUAAUAAGUAAAUAAAAAAAUAUCUUUAAUUGCCCUUUAACAAGGGAACCAUUGCUAAAUAUCCUGAAAUAUUUUCAUAAUUUUGCUCUUUAAAGGGACACUAUAGUCACCAAGACCACUUCAGCUCAAUGAAGUGGUCUGGGUGCCAGGUCCCUCAGGUUUUAACCCUUCACAUGUAAACAUAGCUGUUUGAGAAUAACGGCUAUGUUUACAUUUGGGGUUAAAACAGCCUCUAGUGGCUGUCUUCCGGACAGCCACUAGAGGCGAAUCUGUGACGCUGGAUGAGAAUUUCACCUUCAUCGCGCAGAGCGUCCAUAGGAAAGCAUUGAGAAAUGCUUUCCUAGGGACACUUUGAAUGCGCGCACGGCACUUGCCGCGCAUGCGCAUUAGGCUCCAGUGACGUCGGACAGGGAGGAGAUAAAGGUAAGCUGCUGAAGGGGUUUUAAGCCCUUCAUUGCCACGGGAGGGGGACCCUGAGGGUGGGGGCACCCUCAGGGCACUAUAGUGUCAG